rnacentral:rRNA from 1 species
GACGAACGCUGGCGGCGUGCUUAACACAUGCAAGUCGAACGGAAAGGCCCUGCUUUUGUGGGGUGCUCGAGUGGCGAACGGGUGAGUAACACGUGAGUAACCUGCCCUUGACUUUGGGAUAACUUCAGGAAACUGGGGCUAAUACCGGAUAGGAGCUCCUGCUGCAUGGUGGGGGUUGGAAAGUUUCGGCGGUUGGGGAUGGACUGGCGGCUUAUCAGCUUGUUGGUGGGGUAGUGGCUUACCAAGGCUUUGACGGGUAGCCGGCCUGCGAGGGUGACCGGCCACAUUGGGACGGAGAUACGGCCCAGACUCCUACGGGAGGCAGCAGUGGGGAAUAGUGCACAAUGGGCGGAAGCCUGAUGCAGCAACGCCGCGUGCGGGAUGACGGCCUUCGGGUUGUAAACCGCUUUCGCCUGUGACGAAGCGUGAGUGACGGUAAUGGGUAAAGAAGCACCGGCUAACUACGUG